rnacentral:tRNA from 1 species
GCCUCGAUAGCUUAAACCAAAGCACCGGUCUUGUAAGCCGGAGACUGCAGAUUAAUCCCUGCUCAAGGCU